CUGGCGUGCUCCCAGCUGUCCUCCAGACUGCUGGACCGAGCGCUUGGGGGGCAUGGGCGGCAGCUCCKGGGGCCCCUCUCCGGUGGACUUUCCAACACCUGCCCCCCGACUAUGCUAACCCAGAGCCCUCACAAGCCUAGGCAUCCGACCCGCGGGGCAGUUGGGCAUGGAGAUGUCUGGGUGCUCUGGGGCUGGACAGCGUCUCCCCGUGCCCCGCCCGAGCACCGCAGGGUCUAUCCACCUGGGAGGGGCGCUCUCCUCUCCGCAUCCAACAGGUGUGGCUCGGCACACAGCGGCUGAUAAACGUCCCGUUGGUUCUCGGCGGACACAACAUCUUUGUUGGUAUGUGGUGCUG